rnacentral:rRNA from 1 species
GAUAAACGCUGGCGGCGUGCAUGAGACAUGCAAGUCGAACGGACGAUCAGGGCUUGCUCUGAUCGUUAGUGGCGGACGGCUGAGUAACGCGUAGGUGACCUGCCCCGAAGUGGGGAAUAACUGCCCGAAAGGGUGGCUAAUACCGCAUGUGGUGGUGCCUUCAUGGGCACCAGUAAAGCCGCAAGGCGCGUUCGGGAGGGCCUGCGUCCGAUUAGGCUCGUUGGNGGGUAACGGCUCACCAAGGCGACGAUCGGUAGGUGGUCU